UACGUAGGGUGCGAGCGUUGUCCGGAAUUAUUGGGCGUAAAGGGCUUGUAGGCGGUCUGUCGCGUCGAAAGUGAAAACCCAGGGCUUAACCCUGGGCCUGCUUCCGAUACGGGCAGACUAGAGGUAUGCAGGGGAGAACGGAAUUCCUGGUGUAGCGGUGAAAUGCGCAGAUAUCAGGAGGAACACCGGUGGCGAAGGCGGUUCUCUGGGCAUUACCUGACGCUGAGGAGCGAAAGUGUGGGGAGCGAACAGG
rnacentral:rRNA from 1 species